UAUAUAGUGCCUGAAAAAGGAUAACUUUGAUAGAGUUAAUCAUGUACAAAAAUACCUAUAUAA
rnacentral:tRNA from 1 species